GACGAACGCUGGCGGCGUGCUUAACACAUGCAAGUCGAACGAAGUGGCGAACGGGUGAGUAACGCGUAAUCAACCUGCCCUUCAGAGGGGGACAACAGUUGGAAACGACUGCUAAUACCGCAUACUGAAGGAGGGGAUUGCGUCUGAUUAGCUAGUUGGAGGGGUAACGGCCCACCAAGGCGAUGAUCAGUAGCCGGUUUGAACGUAUGAACGGCCACAGUGGAACUGAGACCCGGCCCAGACUCCUACGGGAGGCAUCCGUGGGAUUCGUCCUCAAGGGACGAAAGUCUGACGGAGGAACGCCGCGUGAGUGGUGACGGCCUUCGGGUUGUAAAGCUCUGUUAAUCGGGACGCGGUACCGGAAUAGAAAGCCACGGCUAACUACGUGCCAGCCGCCGCGGUAAUAC
rnacentral:rRNA from 1 species